AAAGAUAUUUAAUUGUAAAUAGAAAAGGUAGGCCAAAGACAGUUUUAAGGGCAAUUCUUUCGUAUAGGUAAUCUAGAUGACUUAUAAAGUUAUACGUUUCAUAAAAGCACUGAAAGAUAAACACAGCAAAGCACAAAUCAAAUACAAGGUAUACUUGGAAAUAAAGGAGCUGCACAGUAGUCUGAACAAAGUGUAAAGCGUUGUAGCACUUGGUAAUCUUUAAGGCAGUAUGGUCUGUGAAUGUCUGAAAGCCACAAAUGUCCGAAUGUUCUUGGCUCUGUGCAGGUCAACAUUUGCAGCAAGGCAAGAUAGACCCAACUGUAUCAACUAUGACUGACAAGUGAGGAAAUAACAUUUUUAUACAUAUUCCCUUGGGUGACCUGAGUGCAAGUAGAAAGCUAGCACAAGGACCAGGUUGAGGGAAACCCAUUUCUUUUCUCCUUGUAUUCAAAUCCCAUCUACAGUUCUAUCUACCUCUCAUUCUUCUGCAUUUGCAGAGCAUGCCUGAGCUGUGAGGCCUUUAGUAGGUCACAUAACCUUUGUUCUUGCCUUAAGUCCAGCGGGGGACUAAGUGCUUACUUACCUAUUUUUUGAGGAUAUGCUAAAGUUUAGGGCCCUGAUUCUAAAACACCCUUAUUUCUUUUAAUUGUGAACUUCUCAUCUGUAAGAGCAUUUAGGAUUGCCCUCCUGUUCAUUGGAAUAUUAUCACAAUACUUUACAGACCGAAAUCAGCCUUUCACAAUUUAAUAUAUUUCAAUCAUGGUGGACUUUCAACUCCACAUAAUCCCCAGCAGGUAUGACCACUGAUCGUACUGGUUAGCAAAUGCGGGCACUGAAUACCAAUAAACCUGGGUGGAAUGGGAGGAGAGAGACACUAAUUGGGAAAGACUGAUUUAAAACACUGUACACUGGAAAUGCUAAGAACUAUGUCCCUGAAGACCACAGAAAUCAAAACAUAAUCAGAGCUGUCAGAAAUAACAGAAGGCAACAACCGAACUGUGCGCAAAUUUGCCCCUAGAGGUCAUUCAUGAUUAGGGCAAUCUUAAUUUUGGUUUCUUGUGCAGAUAAAACAAUGAAAAUGUACAUGCGUAUUAGUUGUACUGUUAGAUUGAGACGAUGGGCACAAAUACGAACAACGAACUUUUCCUCUGUAAGCUUCACUGGAAGAAGAAAGAGCAAAGAUCACAGGAGUGGUGGAAGAGCAGGAACACAAGAGUACGCGAAUUUCACUUAUGGGGCUCCUACAUAAACCGCAUGCAAGGAGCUCAGACUUUUCUGUUACUCCUGUUCAUUUUGCAGCUGGAGCAGGGAACAUUGUGAAAGAGAGGAUCCCAGCAAUUGUGCCGAACUUUCUUAUAUUUUAUACUACUGGUAUACAACAGCCAAGAUCCUGAAAAGGAGGACAGUGUGAGGAGUCACUUAAAAAGCUUGCUGCCUAAUUUAACCUCUCCAAUCUCAGCGUGAUGCUGCCACCUUCACUCUUGAGGGAUGUUCUCUUGGAGAGGUGCUGCGAGAUGCCAUUCCCAGACCCAGGUCUUCAAGUCACUUCCCUCCACCCCCUUUGACAAUCUGUAGCAUGCGAUAAAACCUUUGUUGGGCAUAUGUUGUGAACUCUUUUAGGAGCACUGCUCAUCUGUACUUGCUGUUGGUCAGUCAGAUUAAAGGUACUGUGAGAGAUGGACACUUGUGUGCCAUUUACCUACAGAUUUCUUGAAGGACAGCCUCCACCCGAAUUCCAGAUAUCAGCCUAUUACUCUUACAGCUUCUUGCAUUUGCUUUUUUUUUUUUUUUUUUUUGGUGCUGUAACAUAAAUGUUAACAUCCUGUCCAGCAGGUGGUAGCAUAGUAGGGGAGAGGUUAAGCUCAAGAGCUUCAGGGAGAAACUCUUGAAACUUGAUCUCCAUCUGCAGAAUUAUCCCAGCCCAGCUUGGUUAGUCACCUGGAAAUAUGAUUGGCUGCGCUAACGGUAAUAUUUUCAUAUAAUUAAUAUAUUACAUAAAUACUGGUUUUUGUUUUCUUUUUCUUCUCCCAAGUUACAUUCCUCUAAGAAAUGCGACUCCCAAUAUAAAAGAAAACAAUCGACCCACAGUUAUUCACCGGCUUCUUCCCCCACCCCCUACCCCCUAUGACCUAGAGGUUAAAUAUUUUUUUCUCAUAAUUUUCCAUCCUCUUUCCUGAAAAAUACUUAUGUAAGAUGUAUAUAGAAAUUAUAAAAAAACAUGCAGCAUAUGUACAAACUGAAAAUUUUUAAAAAUAUCAGCUUCAUAUACAUGUCAAUCUACUUGAAUAUAUCAGGAAUUAAAUAUAAAAAAUUACACUUUUUUUCCUAAAAAAAGGGGGCAUUGUUUGGAGGCCCUGGCCAACUCCUUUAAAGCUGUACAAAGGAUAAUAAUCAGUAAAUGAAUUUAGUCAGAGAUCUAAUUUGUAGCUUUCAAGAUUGGUUCUGUCACAUAAUUCAUUUACACAGCGUGGUUUAAAUCAACAGUUAUCACCCUUAAAACUGUUCUGUAUCUCAGCAGAUUCAUAGUAAAAUCAAAAAAGUCACAAAAACAUUGGCAUUGCAGGUUUGUGGAUCCCUUCCAAAAAGAUUAUACAACUAAUUUUUGAACU